GAUGAACGCUGGCGGCGUGCCUAAUACAUGCAAGUCGAGCGAACAGACGAGGAGCUUGCUCCUCUGACGUUAGCGGCGGACGUGUGAGUAACACGUGUAUAACCUACCUAUAAGACUGGGAUCACUUCGGGAAACCGGAUCUAAUACCGGAUAAUAUAUUGAACCGCAUUGUUCAAUAGUGAAAGACGGUUUUGCUGUCACUUCUAGAUGGAUCCGCGCCGCACUAGCUAGUUGGUAAGGUAACGGCUUUCCAAGGCGACGAUGCGUAGCCGAACUGAGAGAGUGAUAGGCCACACUGGAAGUGAGACAGGGUCAAGACGCCUAAGGGAGGCAGCAGAAUGGAAUGGUACGCAGUGGGCGGAAGCAUGACGGAGCAACGGGGCGUGAGUGAUGAAGAUGUUCGGAGCGUAAAAAUCUGUUAUGAGGGAAGAACAAAUGUGGAAGGAAAUAUGCACGUAGUGACGGUACCUGAUAAGAAAGCAACGGCUAACUACGUG
rnacentral:rRNA from 1 species